rnacentral:tRNA from 1 species
GCCUGGGUGGCUCAGUCGGUUGAGGGUCUGACUUCAGCUCAGGUCAUGAUCUCACAGUUCGUGAGUUCGAGCCCCGCAUCAGGCU